UACGGAGGGGGCUAGCGUUGUUCGGAAUUACUGGGCGUAAAGCGCACGUAGGCGGCUUUGUAAGUUAGAGGUGAAAGCCCGGGGCUCAACUCCGGAAUUGCCUUUAAGACUGCAUCGCUAGAAUUGUGGAGAGGUAAGUGGAAUUCCGAGUGUAGAGGUGGAAAUUCGUAGAUAUUCGGAAGAACACCAGUGGCGAAGGCGACUUACUGGACACAUAUUGACGCUGAGGUGCGAAAGCGUGGGGAGCAAACAGG
rnacentral:rRNA from 1 species